GGGGCGUUAGCUCAGCUGGUCAGAGCAGAAGACUCAUAAUCUUUUGGUCGCGGGUUCAAGCCCCGCACGCCCCACCA
rnacentral:tRNA from 3 species